GUGGGCAUGACCGUACGCCGGAGAGAAGGGCAGUGGUGCCUGGGCCACGUGGGAAGACGGCCAACGCGUGCGUGUGGAGUUGGUCUGCGGUUGCCGAUGGAGUGAGGAGACAUCAACCGUGCAACCGGCAAUCCUUUGAGAAGAAGGGGUCGGGGUCUACUUUCCUUUGCUGCUCAGCCGCCAUCCUUUAAUUGUGCUUUUAUGCCUGCAGAACGAUAUUGAGAAUCGAACUCCUGCAAUGGCCUUUUGUCUUCUAAGAGUUACAUUCUCGAAGACUAAUGACUUGAAGAUCUCCAUAUUGUGACAAUUCUCGACCGAGAAAGAUAUUGACACAGGUGGGACGAUGAUGGGAGGAAGAAGACCUCAUUACUCUCGUGUGGCAAUAGCUCGAGGAAGAGGUAGAGUUGGUGUAAUUUUAAGUUUCCUUUUAGACGUGCAUCAUGUGUUAAAGGGGUCGACAUCCGAGCUAAGUAUUAUGUUCCCCAACCAAUAAUUAUCCAUCGUUUUUAUUUUGUUUUUUCAAUUUUUUACCUAACAAUAUAGGAAAGCUUCUGAAAUAUCUAAAUCAUAUACUUUAGUUUUAAAAUGAUCAAA